AACGAACGCUGGCGGCACGUUUUAAGCAUGCAAGUCGAAUGGCGGCAGGGGCAACUCUGUGAGAAUGGCGAACGGGUGAGUAACACGUAGGUGAUCUGCCUUGAGGAUGGGGAUAGCCUGUGGAAACACAGGGUAAUACCGAAUGAGCUGACGAGACUUUGGUUUUGUUAGUAAAGGUGCUACGGCACCGCCUUGAGAGGAGCCUGCGGCUGAUUAGCUAGUUGGUGGGGUAAGCGCUUACCAAGGCGACGAUCAGUAGCCGGCCUGAGAGGGUGUACGGCCACACUGGAACUGAGACACGGUCCAGACUCCUACGGGAGGCAGCAGCUAAGAAUCUUCCGCAAUGGGCGAAAGCCUGACGGAGCGAUGCCGCGUGAUCGAUGAAGGUCGAGAGAUUGUAAAGAUCUUUUCUACAUGAGGAAUAAGUCUGGGAGGGAAUGCCCGGAUGAUGACGUUAGUGUAGGAAUAAGCCCCGGCUAAUUACGUGCCAGCCGCCGCGGUAA
rnacentral:rRNA from 1 species